rnacentral:tRNA from 2 species
GCCGCCAUGGUGAAAUCGGUAGACACGCUGCUCUU